rnacentral:rRNA from 1 species
GUGAACGCUGGCGGUGUGCCUAAGGUAUGCAAGUCGUGCGGUAACACUUCGGGUGACGAGCGGCGAACGGGUGAGUAAUACAUGGGAACUUACCCCCAAGCUGAGCAUAACCCAUCGAAAGAUGGGCUAAUACUCAAUAGUUCUCGCAAGAGUAAAGGAGCAAUCCACUUGGGGAGAGGCCUGUGUCCGAUUAGCUUGUUGGUAAGGUAAUGGCUUACCAAGGCUACGAUCGGUAGCUGGUUUGAGAGGACGAUCAGCCACACUGGGACUGAGACACGGCCAGACCCUUACGGGGGGCAGCAACUAGGAAUUUUUCGCAAUGGGCGAAAGCCUGACGGAGCGACACCGCGUGCAGGAUGAAGGCCUUCGGGUCGUAAACUGCUUUUAUACGGGAAGAUUAUGACGGUACCGUAUGAAUAAGGAUUUGCUAACUCCGUGCCAGCAGCCGCGGUCAUACGGAGGAUCCAAGCGUUACCCGGAAUUACUGGGCGUAAAGCGUUGCGUAGGCGGUUUGAUAAGUCGUACAUGAAAUCCCAAGGCUCAACUUUGGGUUUAUGCACGAAACUAUCAGACUUGAGGAUGGUAGAGGCGAGUGGAAUUGAUAGUGUAGGGGUGAAAUCCGUAGAUACUAUCAGGAACACCAGUGGCGUAAGCAGCUCGCUGGGCCACUCCUGACGCUAAUGCACGAAAGCGUGGGUAGCGAACCGGAUUAGAUACCCGGGUAGUCCACGCCGUAAACGAUGGAUGCUAGCUGCUGGGGGUAUCGACCCCCCCGGUAGCGAAGCUAACGCGUUAAGCAUCCCGCCUGGGGAGUACGAGCGCAAGCUUAAAACUCAAAGGAAUAGACGGGGACCCGCACAAGCGGUGGAGCGUGUGGUUUAAUCCGAAGCUACGCGUAGAACCUUACCAAGGCUUGACAUUGCUGUCGUACCUCUGGGAAACCUGAGGGUCAUUUAGUUGGACAGAUAACAGGUGUUGCAUGGCCGUCGUCAGCUCGUGUCGUGAGAUGUUUGGUUAAGUCCAUCAACGAGCGCAACCCUUGUCGUAAGUUAGAUUUGUCUUACGAGACUGCCCCGGCAACGGGGAGGAAGGGGAGGAUGAUGUCUGGUCGGCAUUGCCCUUACGUCUUGGGCUACACACACGCUACAAUGGCCGGUACAACGGGUUGCUAAGCCGCAAGGUGGAGCUAAUCCCAUCAAAACCGGUCUCAGUUCGGAUUGGGGGCUGAAACUCGCCCCCAUGAAGCUGGAAUCGCUAGUAACCGUAGGUCAGCACACUACGGUGAAUACGUUCCCGGGUCUUGUACUCACCGCCCGUCACAGCAUGAAAGUUGGCAAUACCCGAAAUUCUACUUCGGUAGGCCUAAGGUAGGGCCAGCGAUUGGGCUG